AGAACGUGAUGCUGGAGGAGGGGGAGGGGUACGCCAUCAUGCUGUACACCUGGAGGAGCUGCUCUCGAGCCAUCCCUCAGGUGAAAUGCAACGAGCAGCCGAACAGGGUGGAGA